rnacentral:rRNA from 1 species
GAUGAACGCUGGCGGCGUGCUUAACACAUGCAAGUGGAGCGACGAACCGGGGCUUGCCCCGGGGCAAAGCCGCGAACGGGUGAGUAACACGUGGGUAACCUACCUCGAUGACCGGGACAACCCGAGGAAACUCGGGCUAAUACCGGAUGUGCUCUUUCACCUCAAGGUGAAGGAGGAAAGAUAGCUUCGGCCUUCGCAUCGAGACGGGCCCGCGGCCCAUUAGCUUGUUGGUGGGGUAACGGCCUACCAAGGCUGCGAUGGGUAGCUGGUCUGAGAGCGCGAUCAGCCACACUGGGACUUAGAAACGGGCCCGACUCCUACGGGAAGCAGCAGUAAGGAAUAUUGGUCCGUGGACGGAAGUCUGAACCAGCCAUGCCGCGUGGAGGAUGAAGGUCCUCUGGCUUGUAAACUUCUUUUAUCUAGGACGAAAAAGGGCUUUUCUACAUCAACUGACGGUACCAGAUGAAUAAGCACCGGCUAACACCGUGCCAGCAGCCGCCGUAACAC